rnacentral:rRNA from 1 species
GGAGGCAGCAGUGGGGAAUAUUGCACAAUGGGCGCAAGCCUGAUGCAGCCAUGCCGCGUGUAUGAAGAAGGCCUUAGGGUUGUAAAGUACUUUCAGCGGGGAGGAAGGUGAUAAGGUUAAUACCCUUGUCAAUUGACGUUACCCGCAGAAGAAGCACCGGCUAACUCCGUGCCAGCAGCCGCGGUAAUACGGAGGGUGCAAGCGUUAAUCGGAAUUACUGGGCGUAAAGCGCACGCAGGCGGUCAAUUAAGUCAG